GACGAACGCUGGCGGCGUGCUUAACACAUGCAAGUCGAACGGAAAGGCCCUGCUUUUGUGGGGUGCUCGAGUGGCGAACGGGUGAGUAACACGUGAGUAACCUGCCCUUGACUUUGGGAUAACUUCAGGAAACUGGGGCUAAUACCGGAUAGGAGCUCCUGCUGCAUGGUGGGGGUUGGAAAGUUUCGGCGGUUGGGGAUGGACUCGCGGCUUAUCAGCUUGUUGGUGGGGUAGUGGCUUACCAAGGCUUUGACGGGUAGCCGGCCUGGGAGGGUGACCGGCCACAUUGGGACUGGGAUACGGCACAGACUCCUACGGGAGGCAGCAGUGGGGAAUAUUGCACAAUGGGCGGAAGCCUGAUGCAGCAACGCCGCGUGCGGGAUGACGGCCUUCGGGUUGUAAACCGCUUUCGCCUGUGACGAAGCGUGAGUGACGGUAAUGGGUAAAGAAGCACCGGCUAACUACGUG
rnacentral:rRNA from 1 species